AUAACUAUAAUGUUAUCCAUUAUUAUUUAUAAGUACCAAGAAGUAAAUAAAAACAUCAAUCAUAACAAGCGUCGAGAAAUAAAUGAGAGAGUUAUGUUCGGGUACAAGUGAUGUUACAGUAUAACGAAGCAUAUAAAGUCAAAGUCAACUCUCUAAAGUACCACCUAGAGAACAUUUCCUCAAUUGAUGAUAGAAGUAUGUUUUCUGGUAGAAAAAGUG